rnacentral:lncRNA from 1 species
AUUGUACAAAGGAAGCUAUACAGACAACAGAAGACAAUGCCAAUGUAUCUCCUUCGUUUUCAUGAGAAAAGCCAAGAUCCACUUUGAGAAGACACAUGAGAGAGACGGAGCUCAGCAGGAUGAGGAGACACAAAACGAGUGUCCCCACACUUCUGCUGCAUCGUCUCAUGGCCUUGUCACGGGACAGAAGCUGCAAUGUGAGGUGAGGCACCAGCAGCACCAGGAACAGCCUGAUGUUCACAGAAAAACAUGGAAGGAUGGAGCCUCAGGUUACUGUCAGGCAGCCAGGACUGUUUACUGCUUCCUGAGUGUUGCUGUUCACUGUGCAGAGGAAGCUGGCAUCUGUGAGAAGGACCAAAAAGAGAGCAUCAACUUCAGUUCCCGUAAUUCACCUAGGGAUUGUUUCUUCACGUCUUUUGUUCUCACAGUUCUCUCAGUGUAAGUGGAUUGAUUCAAGGAUGAAAAUGGAAGGCAUUUUUCUCUACAGAGCACAUUUCAAUUUAACUGAAUUUUUCUCUCUAUAGAAGUGGGCCACAGAGCUAUCAGCCACUGUCAUGCAUAAGUAAUCCCACCUGCGUUUUUUAUUUGAUAUCUGAUAACUGGGGUUUUGGUAAAACUCAAAAGCUGACGCUUUUGAAUUAUGAUAUCCUUUACUAUACUGAAUAUGGAGUAAGAAAUGCAGCACACAAGGAUGUCCCUCUACCUCAAUAAGAUAUGCAUCUGUAAAUCCAUGUUACACUGGCCAGAGCACUCUCAUGCUCUGGUUUUCCUGAUCAUUGCCUUCCACAAGUGCUGUUUGCCUCCAUCCGGCUGCCUCUGGUCCAUAGCUUGUAUUUUUCUCUUUUUUUCAUUGUUUACUGUUUCUGUAAGUUUAAAUCUGAGUGCUGAUCUACUUCUCAUUUUGUAUUACUUUUCCACUGACCCAAU